UAUCUCUGGUUCCUUUGCAUUUGACCGAGAAAAUCUUUCGCCUUUUACUAAAGAUUUCCGUGCAAAGGAGCAAUAAUGAGUAUUUCAUAAUUUUUGGAAUCCCCUCGAAAGAGCGGGA
rnacentral:snRNA from 1 species